CACCAUAGGACAGUACUUGUAUUUGCAAGUACUAUCCUACAGCGGAGUUUAUUAGUUUACUGUGGCCCGAUAGGGCCAAACAUGUAGACGUGGAGACUUUACUGUGGAGCUAAUUAGGUAGCUCUGCAGUAAAUGUCUCGUGUAGAUAUGCCCUCUGUUAGGUAUAUCUCCAUAACACACAGUGAGGCAUACCUGGGCAACACAACACAGCAGGUCAGUGAUGGCUACAGGACUAGAACCCAGGUUUCUUAAACAUCAGGCUAGCCUUUCUUCCUCUGAAGAAUGCUUUCUUGUUGUUAAUUCGUACAUUAAAACCCAGCCUAUGUCACUAGUACUCUUCAGAAAUCAGUUAAUAGGUGACUGGUUAGGCAGACAGGGAGGCUGGUCUUUACUAGCUACAGUCACUACUAAUCAGCAAUUUUCCUUAGGACACCAAAAGCCAUUUUCUCCUCAUUUUUUAUUUCAGAAGUAUAUCUUGGUAUGAGAGGUAGUUCCCUUUAGAAUUGUUCUGUUACAUACUUUUCUUAGAUUGCAGACUGUUCUGGCAAAGGAUUAAAACUUGCAACUGAAUUACCCUUAAGAAAUGCCUUUUAUUGUGUAAUGACUUCAAGAAUGUAAUUCUCCCCUCCUCUCCAAGACCCAUUUGUUAAUCAGUUAGGAAAUAUUACAUGUUAAUUUGUAACAUACCAGCAACCAAGAUUUCUAACUAUGAAGACGUGAUUUAUCCAAGGCUGUUUUGAGACAAUGAGCCUACACCCACAAGCUCGUGAUUUGAGGCAAAACUCCUAUUGAUGGCAAUAGAAGUUUUUACCUGAGAGGAGGCUGCAGAAAUGGGGCCUUUAUAAUAUUUAUUUGUAUUCCAUUGACACCAGGCUUGACAGAUGGGCCGAAAGCACUGCAGACGUUUGAACAAGGAAAUAGAGAGGGAGCCUGCUGGAAGCAGGGCUUCACGCAGCCAGCCGCGAAUGAUGAAUAGAGUGUGAUUGUGUCUGACAGGUAGUAAUAUAACUAUUCAUUCACCACAGAACACCUGGAGCACACUAUAUUAAAUGGUACAAGAUGGAGAGAUUCUGUGACAGGAAUAGGAAGUGUGAAUCCCACGCUGAGUUUAGGUACAGCAAUAUAAAAGGUCAAAGGGCGUGCAACAUAAACUGCCUCAGAGAAGACUGUAAUUAAAUUAUUUGCUUACCAAAGUGUUUCUAAUGUUUUGCUAACAUGUUGCCAGGAUCAUUAUUUCAGCAUGUCUGUACAGCUGAAAUGAGCCCAGCAAAUGCCUCUUUGCUAACUACUCCUAUUCCAUUUUACAUUUGGAGGCUCACUAAUCAUAGUGUCAUCGUUACUGCACAAAGCUAUGUCACCGAGCAGAAGCCGAGAGGGGCCGAAAUCCCUAAUGUCAUUAUAGGGCUAAAACCAGUGUACUGGUUUUUGUCUAACAUUUCUGAAGCUUUUAGCUGAUCAUUUAUUAAGGCUUUCUAGGCCAGAAUCUGCACCGGCAUAAUGUCCACUGAAGAGUCGAUGGGUAUUGCUCUCAGGGGAGCAUCUUUCUCCGUAGCACUGUAACCAUUGCUGUUAUAGUUUUGGGUUUUUUCUGUACUAUACCCUUACAUUUCCAGAAAUUUACUCAGUGCCAGAGGAACUGGAUGUUUUGCACAGCCUUUUGCACUAGGCACAUUUUUGAACUGGAGAAACUUUCUUUGUUCAUCCUCGUUUUGUUAUUUUCUCUGAAUCUAAAAUAAAAAUGUCAUUCACAUUAAAAAGGUAUAACCAUUGCUUACAUAAAGGAGAAAAACCCAUAACUCACAAAUAGGAUUUCAUGUUAACAAGAAACCUGCGCGACCAUGAGCAUAAUUUGCUAGACACUGUUCAGGUGGAGAGUUGGAAACCUUAAGGACACUUAA